GCCCGCCUAGCUCAAUCGGAUAGAGCGUCAGACUUUUAUCUACGCGAAUUUAUCUGAAGGCUGCGAGUUCGACCCUCGCGGUGGGCU